rnacentral:pre_miRNA from 1 species
CAUAUACUCCCUCCGUCCGGAAAUACUUGUCAUUGAAAUGGAUGUAUCUAGAUGCAUUUUAGUUCUAAAUACAUCCAUUUUCAGCCAUUUUGAUGACAAGUAUUUCCGGACGGAGGGAGUAUCUU